rnacentral:rRNA from 1 species
GCCGUAGGGCGCGAGCGUUGUCCGGAUUUAUUGGGCGUAAAGAGCUCGUAGGCGGUUUGUCGCGUCGGAUGUGAAGUUUUAGGGCUCAACCCUGACAUUGCAUCCGAUACGGGCAGGCUAGAGUUCGGUAGGGGAGACUGGAAUUCCUGGUGUAGCGGUGAAAUGCGCAGAUAUCAGGAGGAACACCGGUGGCGAAGGCGGGUCUCUGGGCCGAUACUGACGCUGAGGAGCGAAAGCGUGGGGAGCGAACAGG